rnacentral:rRNA from 1 species
CCUACGGGUGGCAGCAGUGGGGAAUAUUGCGCAAUGGGCGAAAGCCUGACGCAGCGACGCCGCGUGAGGGAUGAAGGUCUUCGGAUCGUAAACCUCUGUCAGCAGGGAAGAACGGUCACUGUGCUAAUCAGCAGUGAAUUGACGGUACCUGCAAAGGAAGCACCGGCUAACUCCGUGCCAGCAGCCGCGGUAAUACGGAGGGUGCGAGCGUUAAUCGGAAUUACUGGGCGUAAAGCGCUCGUAGGCGGUAUGUCAAGUCAAGGGUGAAAUCCCCGCGCUCAACGUGGGAACGGCAUUUGAAACUGGCAAACUGGAGUGUGUGAGAGGAUAGUGGAAUUCCAGGUGUAGGAGUGAAAUGCGUAGAGAUCUGGAGGAACAUCAGUGGCGAAGGCGACUAUCUGGCACAUAACUGACGCUGAGGAGCGAAAGCGUGGGUAGCAAACAGGAUUAGAUACCCUGGUAGUC